rnacentral:lncRNA from 1 species
CUGGCACACAGUAGGUGCACAGAAGGUUUUAGUUCCAGUUUCAUCACCCAUCAUUCUCCCUUCCUAACAGGUGACAAGCAGAGUCCAGAGUCCUGGUGUCAGUAGGGAUGUCAUGGGAUCUCUUUCCGUUCCCCUGCUUUUAAGAUGACUCUUGAUAAUAGGUGAAAAGGAGUUACAGCCUUUUUGUAGACACCUCUUGAGGUAUUUGCAGAGCUCAUAACAAUUCUUUCUAAAAAUGGCCCUGACACAUACAAGCUUUCAGAUGCAAAUAACAAAACAUACACCUUAAGUAGGAUUAAGUAAUAAAGGAAAUUUGCUGAAAAGCCAGCAGAAAGUUAGCUUCAGGUGAGGCUUACUCCAGCAGCUCAAUGGAAGGACUAAAGACAUGGCUUAUCUUUCUCUCUCUCUGUUCUUCCUUCUAGGCUGUUGGAUUAAUACUUAACUCCCCUCAAGGUCACCAGCUGGCUGCCAGCAGUUCCUGGAAGGAGCUGUGUGCUUUAAAACUGACAUCCAGCAAGGCAGAAAGAGCAUCAUUGCCACCAUUUUCAGCAAAAGCUCAGAAAGUCACUCUGAUUGAACAGGUUUAGGUUAUUUGUCCUUCUCUGAAUCGAUCACUACAUCCAAGGAGAUGCCGAUUGGCUUAGCCAAGGUCAUAUGCUUCAUUUUUGAGGGGAAGGAGAUGGUAUAUUUCUUGGAUCCCCAAACAGAAACCAGGUGUUUUGAGAAAGGGGAAGGCCAAAAGAAGCAUCUCAGAAUCCUCAAGAAACAACAAAACGUGUUCAUAUUUUCAAAAAUCUUCUUCUAAUAUCUCAAACUGGUAUUUAAAAACAGGGUAAAGGGCUUUUCUACUUUAAAAAUGUUCCAGCAUUGUAAUACAACUGGAAGAGUCCCAGCCAAAAAGGCUUGACAUUUGACUAUCUGGGCAGCGAUAGAGCGUGCACUCAAAAUGAAAAGAGGAUGACAUGAUGCUUAAACUAUGUUUCAAAACCCACCCCCACAACAAAAUGAAGGGGGGGAGCAGAGGCGCUUGGAUGAUGUAAGAACAAGUAUCUCAAGGGUAUGUGAAGAAAUUAAAAGUUAGCAAUAGCCAGUAGCUUCCAGUUGGCCAGCCUAUUUUAACUCAGGAAAAUAAAAGGCAUUGCUAACUAAUUUUGGUCCCCUUCACAAAUGGAAAAAUAUUCAGAAGAAGAUGAAGAUACAGCAGUGACCCAAGCAGACACAAUCCCUACCCCAUGGAGCUUAAAAUUCUGAGAAUACUAAAUAGGGGUCUUCUUGGCCAGAUAAUUCACCUCUAUUUUCAGUUCCAUGAAUGUCCACCAUAUUAUGAGCACUGAACAGAGAGGAGGCUAUUCAUAAAGUUAAUGAGCUUUUAGUUUCACAGCUGCU